AAACAUUUUAAAAUAGGAAUCCAAAGUCAGGUUUGGUACUGGCUGGUACCUCAGUACCAAAGCUCACUUUGGAUUCCUAUUUUUAAAUGUUUUAGAUAAGCAGAUAGGAAUACCAUAGUUAUUUACAGAAGUCUUGUGCAACUUCGGGCAACACAAGGUUUUCCUCCACGGAGCCAAUAGCUUUUAAUGCUGUAUGGAAACAACUUUCAAAUAAAGCG